UACGUAGGUGGCAAGCGUUGUCCGGAUUUACUGGGCGUAAAGGGCGUGCAGGCGGUCUGUUAAGUUCAGGGUGAAAGCUCCCGGCUCAACUGGGAGAGGUCCUUGGAUACUGGCAGACUUGAGGGAGGUAGAGGAGAGUGGAAUUCCCGGUGUAGUGGUGAUAUGCGUAGAUAUCUGGAGGAACACCGGUGGCGAAGGCGGCGUCCUGGACCAACACUGACACUGAGGAGCGAAAGCCAGGGGAGCAAACGGG
rnacentral:rRNA from 1 species